rnacentral:lncRNA from 1 species
AAAGAACGAAACAACCACCACUAUCACCAGUUCCUGAAUGGAAGAAGUUUAAGAUAUGAACUCUGAUCUCAAACAGCCUACUGGUGUGAAAUCACUAAAGUAUGUGAAACAAUCAAGGUAGAGUUAAGCGCUGCUAACCGAGAAAGCCUGAAGUUCUAGCUGGUAGGAGAGAAGGAAGUGGUCUGUGCUGACGGAAAUAGCUGAAGAAGAACGGAUAAGAACUGUCGGAGAGGAGGAAACAGGCGUUAUUCCAAGCAGACAGGAGCACUCGAGCAAAGGAAUAAUUCGGGGUUGGAAAGGCGGGGCGAAGGGAUAAUGUAAAUUUCUGCCACGGGCAACGUCAAGGGCAACGUGGAAAGAAGCGGAGACUUGAGAGACUCCCUCACAAAGCUGUUGGCCACUGCAGGCCAUCGCUUUUUAGCUUCUUGGGAGAGAGAGCUCGUCGUCCCAGGGAGGUACACAACCCAAGCCUCUGACUUGCUUGAUUUUUACAAGGAACCUAGGCUCAUGUCCAGUGUCCUUGAUUUGAGUCCCACGAACAUAUGAUUGGCUUGGCCUUCCUACCAAAGCACAGCUAAACUCGGUUGACUGUGGGACUCGCGGGGCUCCUAAAGAUGAAAACUUUGAACUAAAGGGGAACUGCCACCUUGCUAGUGGUAUCUAAAAGAUCCGUAACCAAGGCCGACAGGAAUUAAAAGCCUUCCACCACCAAAUGUAUGAGACCUAUUUGUGGCAUUGAAUUUAUAAUCGUGUACACGCAGCUUUGUAAGCAGCAAAGAACAAACCCGUGUAAACAAAACAAAACAAGCUAAAGAUGGCGCCUGACGGCCUUGAAAAAGCCUCGUAGUCGUGUCCCUCCCUGAAGUGGCCCCUCCCCUCCCUGGCUCGUUGAGUGAUUGUGGAUUGCAGCCAAUAACGUCCCUGGUCCUGCCCCCCACCGUCCAAUCGCCAAUCACCGGGAGCCAGAGGACGGGAGGGGCG